AUUGAACGCUGGCGGCAGGCCUAACACAUGCAAGUCGAACGGAUGAAGAGAGAUUGCUCCUGGAUUCAGCGGCGGACGGGUGGGUAAUGCCUGGGAAUAUCCCAGUUUGCGGGUUCUAACGUCCGGACGCGGGCAAAAAUACCGCAUUAGUCCAUACGGCCUACGUGUGAAAUCUUCGGACCUUACGCCCUCACACGAUUCUAUGUCGGAUUAGCUAGUUGGUGGGGUAAAGGCCUACCAAGGCGACGAUCCGUAACUGGUCUGAGAGGAUGAUCAGUCACACUGGAACUGAGACACGGUCCAGACUCCUACGGGAGGCAGCAGUGGGGAAUAUUGGACAAUGGGCGAAAGCCUGAUCCAGCCAUGCCGCGUGUGUGAAGAAGGUCUUCGGAUUGUAAAGCACUUUAGGUUGGGAAGAAGAGCAGUAAGUUAAUACCUUGCUGUUCUGACGGUACCAACAGAAUAAGCACCGGCUAACUUCGUG
rnacentral:rRNA from 1 species